rnacentral:misc_RNA from 1 species
AACCUUAUGGACCUGCGGGCGUAUACCUGCGGAAGGAUCAUUACUGAGUCACGUGCUCAAACAACCCUUCUGUGGACCUGAAAUAAAACCGUUGCCUCGGCGGGCGGUCCCCCCCAAACCAACCCCACGUGGUGGGUUAGGGGAGACCAGACAGUCCGGUACGCUUAAGGCGUCCGGCGCCAGCCGCUGGCCCCAAACAAUUAAACUCUAGUAAUCUUUACCUUCUGAAUUUCAAUAUUU